rnacentral:rRNA from 1 species
GAUGAACGCUGGCGGCGUGCCUAAUACAUGCAAGUCGAGCGAACGGACGAGAAGCUUGCUUCUCUGAUGUUAGCGGCGGACGUGUGAGAAACACAUGGAUAACCUACCUAUAAGACUGUGAUAACUUCGGUAAACCGGAGCUAAUACGGGAUAAUAUUUUGAACCGCAUGGUUCAAAAGUUAACGACGGUCUUGCUGUCACUUAUAGAUUGAUCCGCUCUGCAUUAUCUAGUUGGUAAGGUACGGCUUACCAAGGCAACGAUGCAUAGCCGACCUGAGAGGGCGAUCGGCCACACUGGAACUGAGACACGGCCCAGACUCCUACGGGAGGCAGCAGUAGGGAAUCUUCCGCAAUGGGCGAAAGCCUGACGGAGCAACGCCGCGUGAGGGAAGAAGGCCUUCGGAUCGUAAACCUCUGUUAUUCGGGAAGAACCGAUGUGGAAGUAACUGUGCACAUCAUGACGGUACCUAAUCAGAAAGCCCCGGCUAACUACGUG